rnacentral:rRNA from 1 species
AACGAACGCUGGCGGCAGGCCUAACACAUGCAAGUCGAACGGUUGUAGCAAUACAGCCGUGGCGCACGGGUGAGUAACGCGGGGGAAUCUGCCCAGUAGUACGGAAUAACAGUUGGAAACGACUGACAAUACCGUAUACGCCCUUCGGGGGAAAGUUUUUCGCUAUUGGAUGAGCCCGCGUCAGAUUAGCUAGUUGGUGGGGUAAUGGCCUACCAAGGCGACGACCUGUAGCUGUUCUGAGAGGAAGACCAGCCACACUGGAACUGAGACACGGUCUAGACUCCUACGGGAGGCAGCAGUGGGGAAUAUUGGACAAUGGGCGAAAGCCUGAUCCAGCCAUGCCGCGUGAGUGAUGAAGGCCUUAGGGUUGUAAAGCUCUUUUGGCGGGGAAGAUAAUGACGGUACCCGCAGAAUAAGUUCCGGCUAACUUCGUGCCAGCCGCCGCAGUAA